UGUCACAGCCUGCGUGGUGUUGGCUUGUGGGUCUCUGAGAUCUGAAAAUUUAGAGCGUUUUCGCACCCCAGGGGCCGCUCCUGGUGGCUCUGUGGCCGUCACCAUGCCACAGAACGAAUAUAUUGAAUUACACUGUAAACGCUAUGGAUACCAUUUGGAUUACGAUGAGGAAAAGAGAAAGAAGGAAAGUCGAGAGGCUCAUGAACGUUCAAAGAAAGCAAAGAAAAUGAUUGGUCUGAAGGCUAAGCUUUACCAUAAACAGCGCCAGGCUGAGAAAAUACAAAUGAAAAAGACUAUCAAGAUACAUGAAAAGAUAAACACCAAACAAAAGAAUGAGAAGACUCCACAGGGAGCAGGACCUGCCUCUCUGCUGAACAGAGAGGGACGAUCUUGAGCUAAAGUACUUUCCAAUAUGAUUAAACAGAAACGAAAAGAGAAGGCAGGAACACGGGAAGUCCCUCUGCCUAAAGUCUGUGCCCAGGGAGAAACAGAAGUAUUAAAAGCUAUCCGAAUAGGAAAGAUAAAGAAGAAGGCAUGAAAGAGGAUGGUUACUAAAGUCUGCUUUGUUGGAGACGGCUUUACAAGAAAACCACCUAAAUAUGAAAGAUUCGCAAAGUUAUUUGGGGAAAAUAUGCCCAGGUUACGAACAAUCCUGAAAAUGAUGGAUGCAUAAAUGCAGUCUUACUGGUUUGACAGCAAUUUCAUAUAUAAUUAUUGAGGACUUCACACCAAUUGAAAAAACUGCCAUUACUGCAAUGUUUCUGAAUUCUACCAAACAACCAUACAUGUCUGCAAUCAAGAGAUU